CAGUAUUUCAUAGUUUCCAUUUCACUUAAUCUUUGUAACACAAUAAUCAUUUGGUUCAAACAUAAUGCAUAACCUUUAGCAUCAUCAACGAAGGGAACAUCUUGGGAGCACACUGAUAAGCUGUGGAAAUAAUAUGUUAAUUUAGAAGACUAAGCUGUGGAAAUAAUAUGUUAAUUUAGAAGACUAAGCUGUGGAAAUAAUAUGUUAAUUUAGAAGACUAAGCUGUGGAAAUAAUAUGUUAAUUUAGAAGAAUAAGCUGUGGAAAUAAUAUGUUAAUUUAGAAGAAUAAGCUGUGGAAAUAAUAUGUUAAUUUAGAAGACUAAGCUGUGGAAAUAAUAUGUUAAUUUAGAAGAAUAAGCUGUGGAAAUAAUAUGUUAAUUUAGAAGACUAAGCUAUGGAAAUAAUAUGUUAAUUUAGAAGACUAAGCUGUGGAAAUAAUAUGUUAAUUUAGAAGACUAAGCUGUGGAAAUAAUAUGUUAAUUUAGAAAUGUAUAAAAAGAGCAUGAGAUCAAAGUCAAUUAUCAGACCACUAGGGGUCAGUGUUUUUUAGAUGAGAUGUGUUGUCUAGUAUGAUACACUAAAUGCACAAAACAUUUGGAACACCUUCCUAAUAUUGAGUUGCACACCCCUUUUUCUGCCCUGUGAACCGCCUCAAUUUGUCAGGGCUUGGGACUCUACAAGGUGUCGAAAGCGUUCCACAGGGAUGCUGGCCCAUGUGGACUCUACAAGGUGUUGAAAGCCUUCCACAGGGAUGCUGGCCCAUGUUGACUCUACAAGGUGUUGAAAGCCUUCCACAGGGAUGCUGGCCCAUGUUGACUCUACAAGGUGUUGAAAGCCUUCCACAGGGAUGCUGGCCCAUGUUGACUCUACAAGGUGUUGAAAGCCUUCCACAGGGAUGCUGGCCCAUGUUGACUCUACAAGGUGUUGAAAGCCUUCCACAGGGAUGCUGGCCCAUGUUGACUCUACAAGGUGUUGAAAGCCUUCCACAGGGAUGCUGGCCCAUGUUGACUCUACAAGGUGUUGAAAGCCUUCCACAGGGAUGCUGGCCCAUGUUGACUCUACAAGGUGUUGAAAGCCUUCCACAGGGAUGCUGGCCCAUGUUGACUCUACAAGGUGUUGAAAGCCUUCCACAGGGAUGCUGGCCCAUGUUGACUCUACAAGGUGUUGAAAGCGUUCCACAGGGAUGCUGGCCCAUGUUGACUCUACAAGGUGUCGAAAGCGUUCCACAGGGAUGCUGGCCCAUGUUGACUCUACAAGGUGUCGAAAGCGUUCCACAGGGAUGCUGGCCCAUGUUGACUCUACAAGGUGUCGAAAGCGUUCCACAGGGAUGCUGGCCCAUGUUGACUCUACAAGGUGUCGAAAGCGUUCCACAGGGAUGCUGGCCCAUGUUGACUCUACAAGGUGUUGAAAGCGUUCCACAGGGAUGCUGGUCCACGUUGACUCUACA